UACUGAGGGAGCUAGCGUUGUUCGGAAUUACUGGGCGUAAAGCGCGCGUAGGCGGCUUUGUAAGUUAGAGGUGAAAGCCCGGAGCUCAACUCCGGAACUGCCUUUAAAACUGCAUCGCUUGAAUCCAGGAGAGGUGAGUGGAAUUCCGAGUGUAGAGGUGAAAUUCGUAGAUAUUCGGAAGAACACCAGUGGCGAAGGCGGCUCACUGGACUGGUAUUGACGCUGAGGUGCGAAAGCGUGGGGAGCAAACAGG
rnacentral:rRNA from 1 species